CGUCAGAAGAGUCACUGUUUUCCGGUUGUUAUUUGUUUUAAAACUCUUAUUGGCCGAGCGCGAAUCAUGCCCAGUGUAUGUGCAGCGUACAAUUGCGCUAAUAGAAGUGAUAAAACAACUGGAAUAUCAUAUUGCAGAUUUCCUCUGAAAGAAAGAGCUGUUAAUUUGAUGGGUAGCCAAUAUGAGGCGAGAUAAGUGGCAGCCAACUCAGUAUAGCUACAUAUGCUCGUUUCACUUUGAAGAUAGAUACAUGUAUAGUACAAAUGAGAAAAGGCGACUUCUGGCAAACGCAGCACCGACAAUAUUUACGUUUCCUGACCAUCUGCAGAAAACAACUAUAGUAUAGAGACAACCAAGGAAACGGCUUGUGAGUGAAGAAUUAGCUUCCUUAUCAAAUGAACCAGGUGAAAGAGUGAAUCAGAAUGAUCAUAGAGAUCAUUCCUAUUGUUUGCCUAGCCCCAAAAAAUUGAAACAGAAUUACGAGGCACUACAGAAAAGGACCGAGAAGCUGAG